GACUAAAGGCUAAAAGGUGUUUUUUUCUCACAACAUGGCAUGUCCUUUUGUCGACGACCCAGUUGAUGCAGAGGCUGUAUUAAUUUGCAGGGAGUUAAACAUACUGUAUGUCGGGAGAUGAUAUUGAGGCCCUGACUAUAGAUGCAUUUUAAUUUCCAUAUAACUACCUAUUUGAGAAGUAUCGUUUUUCUUCCCAGUCUAUCAGUCAUGUAGCCUACAUAACCUUAUCCGUCCUCAUAUCACUAACGUCACACAUCAUGGCCACUAC